CAGUGAUAAACUGGAGGAAGGUGGGGAUGACGUCAAGUCAUCAUGGCCCUUACGACCAGGGCUACACACGUGCUACAAUGGCGCAUACAAAGAGAAGCGACCUCGCGAGAGCAAGCGGACCUCAUAAAGUGCGUCGUAGUCCGGAUUGGAGUCUGCAACUCGACUCCAUGAAGUCGGAAUCGCUAGUAAUCGUGGAUCAGAAUGCCACGGUGAAUACGUUCCCGGGCCUUGUACACACCGCCCGUCACACCAUGGGAGUGGGUUGCAAAAGAAGUAGGUA
rnacentral:rRNA from 1 species